ensembl:misc_RNA Y_RNA Y RNA
GGCUGGUCCAUGUGCAGUAGUGUUUACAACUCUUUGAUCACAAUCAAUUAACAGUUCUUCUCCACUCCCACUGCUUCACUUGACUAUCCUUAA